rnacentral:rRNA from 1 species
UCCAGACUCCUACGGGAGGCAGCAGUGGGGGAUAUUGCACAAUGGGGGAAACCCUGAUGCAGCGACGCCGCGUGGAUGAAGAAGCGCCUCGGCGCGUAAAGCCCUGUCAGCAGGGAAGAAAAUGACGGUACCUGAAGAAGAAGCCCCGGCUAACUACGUGCCAGCAGCCGCGGUAAUACGUAGGGGGCAAGCGUUAUCCGGAUUUACUGGGCGUAAAGGGAGCGUAGACGGCUGUGCAAGUCUGAAGUGAAAGCCCAGGGCUCAACCCUGGGACUGCUUUGGAAACUGUGGAGCUAGAGUGCUGGAGAGGUAAGUGGAAUUCCUAGUGUAGCGGUGAAAUGCGUAGAUAUUAGGAGGAACACCAGUGGCGAAGGCGGCUUACUGGACAGUAACUGACGUUGAGGCUCGAAAGCGUGGGGAGCAAACAGGAUUAGAUACCCCCGUAU